UGAGUACCGAAGUGACUGAUUCCGCACUGACGAGAAAAUCCACUAUCGAGAGUAGAGGUACCCGUACCGCAAACCGACACAGGUAGAUGAGGAGAGAAUCCUAAGACGAACGGGAGAAGCGUUGUUAAGGAACUCGGCAAAUUGACCCCGUAAGUUCGCAAUAAGGGGUGCCUCAGAAAUGAGGUCGCAGAGAAUAGGCCCAAGCAACUGUUUAACAAAAACACAGGUCUCUGCUAAAUCGAAAGAUGAAGUAUAGGGGCUGACGCCUGCCCGGUGCUGGAAGGUUACGGGAAUCUGUCAACGAAAGUGAAGCAGUGAACUUAAGCCCCAGUAAACGGCGGCCGUAACUAUAACGGUCCUAAGGUAGCGAAAUUCCUUGUCAGGUAAGUUCUGACCCGCACGAAUGGCGUAAUGAUUUGGGCACUGUCUCAACAACGUACCCGGCGAAAUUGUAGUACUUGUGAAGAUGCAAGUUACCCGCGACUAGACGGAAAGACCCCAUGGAGCUUUACUGUAGCCUGAUACUGGGUUUCGGUAUUCUUUGUACAGGAUAGGUGGGAGGUUAGGAAGUAUGGACGCCAGUUCAUAUGGAACCGACGUUGGGAUACCACUCUAAGAAUACUGGAACUCUAACCUGAGGCCAUAAGCUGGUCUAGGGACACUGUCAGGUGGGCAGUUUGACUGGGGCGGUCGCCUCCCAAAAGGUAACGGAGGCGUUCAAAGGUUACCUCAGCGCGGUUGGAAAUCGCGCAACGAGUGCAAAGGCAUAAGGUAGCCUGACUGCGAGACAGACAAGUCGAGCAGGUACGAAAGUAGGACUUAGUGAUCCGGCGGUAUGAAAGUGGAAUUGCCGUCGCUCAACGGAUAAAAGCUACCCUGGGGAUAACAGGCUGAUCUCCCCCAAGAGUCCACAUCGACGGGGAGGUUUGGCACCUCGAUGUCGGCUCAUCGCAUCCUGGAGCUGAAGUAGGUUCCAAGGGUUUGGCUGUUCGCCAAUUAAAGCGGUACGCGAGCUGGGUUCAGAACGUCGUGAGACAGUUCGGUCCCUAUCUGUCGCGGGCGCAGGAUAUUUGAAGGGAUCUGUCCUUAGUACGAGAGGACCGGGAUGGACGAACCUCUGGUGUACCAGUUGUACUACCAAGUGCAUAGCUGGGUAGCCAAGUUCGGAAGGGAUAAACGCUGAAGGCAUCUAAGCGUGAAACCCACCCUAAGAUGAGAUAUCCCACCGUAAGGGUAAGACCCCAUGUAGACUACAUGGUUGAUAGGCCAGAGGUGUAAGUGCAGUAAUGUAUUUAGCUGACUGGUACUAAUAGGUCGAGGGCUUGAUC
rnacentral:rRNA from 1 species